CCUACGGGGGGCUGCAGUGGGGAAUAUUGCACAAUGGGGGAAACCCUGAUGCAGCAACGCCGCGUGAGUGAAGAAGUAUUUCGGUAUGUAAAGCUCUAUCAGCAGGGAAGAGAAUGACGGUACCUGACUAAGAAGCCCCGGCUAACUACGUGCCAGCAGCCGCGGUAAUACGUAGGGGGCGAGCGUUAUCCGGAUUUACUGGGUGUAAAGGGAGCGUAGACGGGUCUGCAAGUCUGAAGUGAAAGCCCGUGGCUUAACCGCGGGACGGCUUUGGAAACUGUGGAACUGGGGUGCAGGAGAGGCAAGCGGAAUGCCUGGUGUAGCGGUGAAAUGCGUAGAUAUUAGGAGGAACACCAGUGGCGAAGGCGGCUUGCUGGACAGUAACUGACGCUGAGGCACGAAGGCCAGGGGAGCGAAAAGGAUUAGAUACCCCAGUAGUC
rnacentral:rRNA from 1 species